GCGCGAAACCUCCGCAAUGUGAGAAAUCGCGACGGGGGGAUCCCAAGUGCCAUUCUUAACGGGAUGGCUUUUCAUAAGUGUAAAAAUCUUUUGGAAUAAGAGCUGGGCAAGACCGGUGCCAGCCGCCGCGGUAACACCGGCAGCUCUAGUGGUAACUGUUUUUAUUGGGCCUAAAGCGUUCGUAGCCGGUUUAAUAAGUCUCUGGUGAAAUCCUGUAGCUCAACUAUGGGAAUUGCUGGAGAUACUAUUAGACUCGAGA
rnacentral:rRNA from 1 species